rnacentral:SRP_RNA from 13 species
AAAUGUGAUUUGGAGGAAUAUCGGCAGGUGGGGAAGGAAGAAGCAAUAAAAAAAGCUGAUCUUCUUGGUUGCCGUCUU